rnacentral:rRNA from 1 species
GAAACCAACAAGGAUUCCCCUAGUAACGGCGAGUGAAGCGNGAUCAGCUCAAAUUUGGAAUCUGGCAGAUUACAUCUGUCCGAAUUGUAAUUUCAAGAGGCAUCUUUGGGUGUGGCUCAGGUAAAAGUCUGUUGGAAUACAGUAUCAUAGAGGGUGAGAAUCCCGUCCAUGACCUGGGACCCAUUCCUAUGUAAAGUGUCUUCAAAGAGUCGAGUUGUUUGGGAAUGCAGCUCUAAAUGGGUGGUAAAUUCCAUCUAAGGCUAAAUACUGGUGGGAGACCGAUAGCGAACAAGUAGUGUGAACGAAAGAUGAAAAGAACUUUGAAAAGAGAGUUAAAUAGUACGUGAAAUUGUUGAA